ensembl:snoRNA U3 Small nucleolar RNA U3
AUGAUUAUACUUUUAGGGAUCACUUCUAUAGUUUGUCACUAGAGAAGUUUCUCUGAACAUAUAGAAUCCCAGAAACCAUGGAGGAAGUACAGUGUCCCUUCCUGAGCAUGAAGCUGGCUCUGGGUGUAGCUUCUACAGCUGCCCUUUGCCAUUGAUGAUCUCUCUUCCCUCCCUUGGAAGAGCAAAAAGGAAGGGAAACCAUCUCAGUGGA